rnacentral:rRNA from 1 species
GUAGGGAGGCAGCAGUGGGGAAUAUUGCACAAUGGGCGCAAGCCUGAUGCAGCCAUGCCGCGUGUAUGAAGAAGGCCUUCGGGUUGUAAAGUACUUUCAGCGGGGAGGAAGGUGUUGAGGUUAAUAACCUCAGCAAUUGACGUUACCCGCAGAAGAAGCACCGGCUAACUCCGUGCCAGCAGCCGCGGUAA